rnacentral:lncRNA from 1 species
GUUCCCGGCCCGCGGACGCUUAGAGAAGGGAGUUUCGGAGUUAUGGGGGGACCCACCCUUCUAUUUAAUAACUGAGAAAGCCACGGGAGGGGACUUGCUGGGCUCACAGCCAGUGAUCCCUGCCCUGUUUCCUUAUGGGGACUGCGGUCGGAAAUGGGGAGUGGGGCAGAACCUGUCACCGUCACGGUCCUGUUUAGAGAGGAAGGUCGGAGAAACCAGAGCAGUGGAAGGCUCUCGGGCGUUGUCAGGCGCUGUCCCCAGAUCACCGGCUCUAUGACCCUGGGAGAAUGGGAAUUUCGUAAGAGCAGGGACAUGAGGGUGAACUGCUCACCCAGGCACCGCUGGCGCCCGGAACCCAGCUCCCUCGGGGCUCCGGAGAGGCGGCCUCAGCCGUGUGCUGGUGCUGCCCUCCAGUGGCGCUGGGUCCCCAUGGCAUCUGGCUUUCUCCUGCUCCCCAGUGGCCUUUUCUUCUCCCACCCACCUGUCACCAGCCCCCAGGGUAAGUCUCUGUGUGACUCUAGGGUGAAGGUGGAGGGACCUUGCCUCCGAGGAUUCAUCCCACCUGGAUUCCGAUGAGUGAGAGACCCUCUCUGGCACCUGGUGUUUGAAUGGCCAGCCUCACAGUUAAUAAAGACAAGUUUGGUAUCA